AAGCAGAACAUUUGGUUUUAUUGAACAACGAUUUUCAAAUUAACACUAUGCGACAAGAAAGUAAUUGUUGUUUUUUGUACUCAGAUAGAUUUACAUACAUGUAGCUAAAUGCUAUAAAUAGUUGUGUGUUUUGUAUGUACGAGAUAUGAAGUUAAUUGCGCGUGAAUUUCCGAAAACGACGAUAUUGUACUUUGAAGUAUUGACAGAUCGAUAGAACAACGUAACAUGCUCGUAUUGAGAUUUUCUGAAAAUGAAGACUAGUCCAGAGUAUAAAAUCAAGAAAGCUUUACAUUCACGGUUCAUUCGUAUUUGGAAGCUUUCUCACACUUAAUCAUUCAAACAAGCAGCUGAAUCAUGUCAAGUGGGCAACCAACGGGCGGACAUGGGGAAUCGAAGUCCGAUCUGGAAAAUAAGGGUGCCCAGUGUAACCCGAACAACCCGAGCUUCCAGGGCCACCAAACAGGGUACCCGGGCACAGGGACCAAAUCUGACCUUAAUAACCAUAGUGACCAACUGAAUUCGAACAACGAGCGGUUCCAACCAGCGAAGAAAUGAUUCGACGCGUGCGUUUGAGAAUGUGAUGCAUUGUCACGACUAUUUAUUCUUGUGAACGAAUAAAACAUACAAGCAUAAAA